AUUUAUAAAAGAAAAAUAUGGAUCUAAGUGGAUAGCUUUAACUGAAAACUAGCAAAAAACAACAUAUAAGAAAAAAAAAACCAACACUAACUAGCUUUUAUACACCACAACAAAACCCACCCUGGUUUCAUCAAAACAGGUCUUUUCCCCAAAAAUAUCCCAAAAACCCCAUCAUUUUGUUUUCGCCUGAAGAGCUUUUUCCAUUUACACAGAUGAGGGGGGGGGGGGGGAAGAGAUUCUUUGUUCCCCGUUCAAAAUUUUAAGGGAAUGAUUUAUUAUAUAGAGAGAGAGAGAGAGAG
rnacentral:misc_RNA from 1 species